CCUUGAAAUACCACCCUUUAAUGUUUGAUGUUCUAACGUGGACCCGUGAUCCGGGUUGCGGACAGUGUCUGGUGGGUAGUUUGACUGGGGCGGUCUCCUCCUAAAGAGUAACGGAGGAGCACGAAGGUUGGCUAAUCCUGGUCGGACAUCAGGAGGUUAGUGCAAUGGCAUAAGCCAGCUUGACUGCGAGCGUGACGGCGCGAGCAGGUGCGAAAGCAGGUCAUAGUGAUCCGGUGGUUCUGAAUGGAAGGGCCAUCGCUCAACGGAUAAAAGGUACUCCGGGGAUAACAGGCUGAUACCGCCCAAGAGUUCAUAUCGACGGCGGUGUUUGGCACCUCGAUGUCGGCUCAUCACAUCCUGGGGCUGAAGUAGGUCCCAAGGGUAUGGCUGUUCGCCAUUUAAAGUGGUACGCGAGCUGGGUUUAGAACGUCGUGAGACAGUUCGGUCCCUAUCUGCCGUGGGCGCUGGAGAACUGAGGGGGGCUGCUCCUAGUACGAGAGGACCGGAGUGGACGCAUCACUGGUGUUCGGGUUGUCAUGCCAAUGGCACUGCCCGGUAGCUAAAUGCGGAAGAGAUAAGUGCUGAAAGCAUCUAAGCACGAAACUUGCCCCGAGAUGAGUUCUCCCUGAGACUUAGAGUCUCCUGAAGGAACGUUGAAGACG
rnacentral:rRNA from 1 species